AUUAAUAAUUAAUAUAUUUAAUAAAAAUAAUUUUAAUUUAAUAAGUAUUUUAAUGGGGGUUAAAGUAUUUUUUAAAGAAAAAAUUUUUAAAUUUAUAGUUAAUUAGUAUUGUGAAAGAAUUUUGAAAUAUUAUGAAAAAUAAAAUUUUUAGAAAGUAAUUUUUAUUUAUUGUAUCUUGUGUAUCAGAGUUUAUUAAAAAUUUUUAAUUUAUGAAUUAAUUUCUCGAAUUUAAAAGAGUUAAAUAAUUAUUAAAGUUAUUGUAGCAAAAUUAUUUUAAAUAAUUAUUUAGAAAUGAAAUGUUAAUCGUUUUUAAAUAUAUCUAGUUUUUAUAGAAAAAAAUUUAAUUUUAAAUUUAAAAAUUAUUUAAUUAAUUUAUUAAUUAAAUAGUUACUUAAAUUUUAUAAUUUAAGGGAUAAGCUUUAAAUUAAAUUUUUAUAAUAUUAAAUUUUUAUUUUGAAAAUUUUAUAAUUUAUAUUGUUAAUAAAUUUUAUUUUGUUAUAAAUAAUUUCAUUUUUUUUAAAAUUUAAAUUUUAUUUAAUUUUUUAUAUAAAAUUUAUUUAUAAUUAUAUAAAGUUAAUUAUAAUGAUAAAAUUAGUAUAUUAUUUAAUAUUAAAUUAAAAUUAAUUUUUGAUUAAUAAUUAAAUUAAUUAAAAGGAAUUCGGCAAAUAUUUAUUUUCACUUGUUUAUCAAAAACAUGUCUUUUUGUUAUUUAAUUUAAAGUCUAAUCUGCCCACUGAUUUAUAAAAAUUGAAGGGCUGCAGUAUAUUGACUGUACAAAGGUAGCAUAAUCAUUAGUCUCUUAAUUGGUGACUUGUAUGAAAGAUUGGAUGAAAAAUAUACUGUCUCUUAAUUAAUAUAUAGAAUUUAAUUUUUUAUUUAAAAAGUUAAAAUAACUUAAAAAGACGAGAAGACCCUAUUGAGUUUAAUAAAUUAUUUUAUGAAAGUUUUAUUUUUAUUUAUUAAUAAUUUUAUAAAUUUAUUUAUUUAGUUGGGGUGAUAAAAAAAUAAAUUUAACUUUUUUUAAGUAAUUUACAUGGAUAAGUGAUUAAU
rnacentral:rRNA from 1 species